CAUCUGCCUUACAAGCAGAGGGUCGGCGGUUCGAUCCCGUCACCACCCA
rnacentral:tRNA from 1 species